rnacentral:tRNA from 1 species
GAGGUCGUAGCUCAACGGCAGAGCAUUCGCUUGUGGAGCGAAGGGUUGGGGGUUCGAUUCCCCUCGGCCUCC